AGUCGAGGGGUAGAUUAGCUUGCUAAUUUGAGACCGGCGCACGGGUGCGUAACGCGUAUGCAAUCUGCCUUGUACCGAGGGAUAGCCCAGAGAAAUUUGGAUUAAUACCUCAUAGCAUUAUGAAAUCGCAUGGUUUUAUAAUUAAAGUUCCAACGGUACAAGAUGAGCAUGCGUCCCAUUAGUUAGUUGGUAAGGUAACGGCUUACCAAGACGAUGAUGGGUAGGGGUCCUGAGAGGGAGAUCCCCCACACUGGUACUGAGACACGGACCAGACUCCUACGGGAGGCAGCAGUGAGGAAUAUUUGGUCAAUGGG
rnacentral:rRNA from 1 species